GUAAGAUGGCCAAAUUCAAGACUCUUUAUUUUUAUUUUAUUUUUUAUUUUUUUUUCAGGGAUGCUGUUAUUUUAUCUAGCAUUGUACCUGAUUUUGGGAGGGUGUGGGGAAUGUACUUGAACAAAAUAUGGGUCGCUUAUACAAUUAGUGCUGUGACUCUUACCCCACUGUAUUUGGAGCAAAUAUUUAUCAGCAAUAUCACACCUGUACUAUGCAGGCUGACUGAGCGCCAACACCUUUUUGGAGAAGCACAACUGGAAAAGCCAUGCCUGCCUCCAGGUUGAGGUAGUAGUUUUGUACAGUUUGAGGGUCUAAGAUACGCCCGGUACUGGAGAUAACUGUACAGGCCACUGCCUUGCCUGAGGCAGAGCACACUCUGCAAAACUGCCCACCAGUGAAUGGUGCCAAAGGGGCUGCCUGCAACAGGUAUGUUUUAUUAAACCGCACAUUUGAUCUGCCAAGAAGGUUACAUAAAUCAAAUGUAGUCCUUUAAACGUGUAAACUUAAAGGUGCGAGCAAAUCCUAGUAUAUCAAUUAAGAUGUUAGGUUUUCGCGAUAUGAAGUGUUGCCUUCCUUGGUCUGAGAAUGGUUUUCUAUUCAGCGUUAUGCUAAUGUUUAUAUUUGUUCAAAGUUUAUGCCGUCUGCCUUUUUGGGCAAGUUAGAAGGUCUAAAUCUCACCAUUACGAUUGUUUCUUUUGUUAAUCGCUUGUUCAUUGUGCUGUCAUCUUUCUAAUAUGCAGCUGGUUGUCUUAUGUCAUUUCUAUUUCCCAUAG
rnacentral:lncRNA from 1 species